UUGACAAUUUCCGUAAUAUUCAUUAAACAAUAAACAAGCAAUGAUCCCAUUGACAUCACACGGUCUGUACAUGGAUAAAAUUUGAAAUCGAGUUGAUCAGUAGUUUCAAGAUUUUUAAAGAUUACUUGUUCAUCCUGGUCUGCGGAUUCUGUUAAUCAUUUAAACCAGUCUUGUAUAUAUGCAUACUCAUCAAUAUUAGUUUACUGUCAAACAUGAUUUGCGAACAACAUAACAAAUAUGAUUUGAUAGACCCCUGUCUUAAAACAGUUCCAAAUUGAAUGUUUAAGAAUUUGUUAAACUAGUUUUUGUGUUGUAAAACAUCUAAGGAACCUCAAAAAUCCAAUUUAAAUCGUAUUUUAUGUAUGUCAACAUCAUCAAAACCUUCGGAAGCAACAAAUUUGAAAAAUACUGUACUGUUAAAUAAUGAUUAACUAAUCUUCAUUGUUAAAUUUUAUUGAUACAUUGUAACAUGUAUUUUCAUGCAUUGUUGAACUGCUUUAAAUUUUGUAUUCAGAGAAGACUUAAU
rnacentral:lncRNA from 1 species